CCAGGACAGUGCUGGAUAUUGGACAUGGGCGAAGCCUGAUCCAGCCAUGCCGCGUGUGUGAAGAAGGUCUUCGGAUUGUAAAGCACUUUAAGUUGGGAGGAAGGGCAGUAAGCUAAUACCUUGCUGUUUUGACGUUACCGACAGAAUAAGCACCGGCUAACUCUGUGCCAGCAGCCGCGGUAAU
rnacentral:rRNA from 1 species